rnacentral:rRNA from 1 species
CGGCGGAACACGUGAAAUUCCGUCGGAAUCCGGGAGGACCAUCUCCCAAGGCUAAAUACUCCCUAGUGACCGAUAGUGAACCAGUACCGUGAGGGAAAGGUGAAAAGCACCCCGGAAGGGGAGUGAAACAGUUCCUGAAACCGUGUGCCUACAAGUAGUUAGAGCCCGUUAAUGGGUGAUAGCGUGCCUUUUGUAGAAUGAACCGGCGAGUUACGAUUUGUUGCAAGGUUAAGCGGAAAAAGCGGAGCCGUAGCGAAAGCGAGUCUGAAUAGGGCGCAUAAGUAACAGGUCGUAGACCCGAAACCAGGUGAUCUACCCAUGUCCAGGAUGAAGGUAAGGUAAUACUUACUGGAGGUCCGAACCCACGCACGUUGAAAAGUGCGGGGAUGAGGUGUGGGUAGCGGAGAAAUUCCAAUCGAACUUGGAGAUAGCUGGUUCUCUCCGAAAUAGCUUUAGGGCUAGCCUCGAGGUAAAGAGUCAUGGAGGUAGAGCACUGUUUGGACUAGGGGCCCUUCUCGGGUUACCGAAUUCAGAUAAACUCCGAAUGCCAUGUACUUAUACUCGGGAGUCAGACUGCGAGUGAUAAGAUCCGUAGUCGAAAGGGAAACAGCCCAGACCACCAGUUAAGGUCCCCAAAUAUAUGUUAAGUGGAAAAGGAUGUGGGGUUGCUUAGACAACCAGGAUGUUGGCUUAGAAGCAGCCACCAUUGAAAGAGUGCGUAAUAGCUCACUGGUCGAGUGACCCCGCGCCGAAAAUGUACCGGGGCUAAACAUAUUACCGAAACUGUGGAUGAACCUCUUUAGAGGUUCGUGGUAGGAGAGCGUUCUAAGGGCGGUGAAGUCAGACCGGAAGGACUGGUGGAGCGCUUAGAAGUGAGAAUGCCGGUAUGAGUAGCGAAAGAAGGGUGAGAAUCCCUUCCACCGAAUAUCUAAGGUUUCCUGAGGAAGGCUCGUCCGCUCAGGGUUAGUCGGGACCUAAGCCGAGGCCGAUAGGCGUAGGCGAUGGACAACAGGUAGAGAUUCCUGUACCAGUGCUAAUUGUUUAACCGAUGGGGUGACACAGAAGGAUAGGGAAUCGCACGAAUGGAAAUGUGCGUCCAAGCAGUGAGUGUGAGAAGUAGGCAAAUCCGCUUCUCGCGAAGCAUGAGCUGUGAUGGGGAAGGAAAUUAAGUACGGAAGUUCCUGAUUUCACGCUGUCAAGAAAAGCCUCUAGGAAGAGUAGUACUGCCCGUACCGCAAACCGACACAGGUAGAUGAGGAGAGAAUCCUAAGGUGAGCGAGAGAACUCUCGUUAAGGAACUCGGCAAAAUGACCCCGUAACUUCGGGAGAAGGGGUGCUCUAUUAGGGUGCAAGCCCGAGAGAGCCGCAGUGAAUAGGCCCAGGCGACUGUUUAGCAAAAACACAGGUCUCUGCAAAACCGUAAGGUGACGUAUAGGGGCUGACGCCUGCCCGGUGCUGGAAGGUUAAGAGGAGUGCUUAGCUUCGGCGAAGGUACGAAUUGAAGCCCCAGUAAACGGCGGCCGUAACUAUAACGGUCCUAAGGUAGCGAAAUUCCUUGUCGGGUAAGUUCCGACCCGCACGAAAGGCGCAACGAUCUGGGCACUGUCUCAACGAGAGACUCGGUGAAAUUAUAGUACCUGUGAAGAUGC